GAAAUAGCGAAGAUAUGAUUA
rnacentral:miRNA from 1 species